AUUGAACGCUGGCGGCAUGCCUAACACAUGCAAGUCGAACGGCAGCACAGCAGUAGCAAUACUGUGGGUGGCGAGUGGCGGACGGGUGAGGAAUACGUCGGAAUCUGCCCAGUCGUGGGGGAUAACUAGCCGAAAGGUUAGCUAAUACCGCAUACGACCGAGAGGUGAAAGCGGGGGGACCGCAAGGCCUCGCGCGAUUGGAUGAGCCGACGUCGGAUUAGCUAGUUGGCGGGGUAAAGGCCCACCAAGGCGACGAUCCGUAGCUGGUCUGAGAGGAUGGAUCAGCCACACUGGAACUGAGACACGGUCCAGACUCCUACGGGAGGCAGCAGUGGGGAAUAUUGGACAAUGGGCGCAAGCCUGAUCCAGCAAUGCCGCGUGUGUGAAGAAGGCCUCGGUUGUAAG
rnacentral:rRNA from 1 species